GCCAGUGUGGUGUAGUGGUUUGGGUGUUGGACUGAGAUCUGGAGACCGGGUUCAAAUCCCCACUGGCC